rnacentral:misc_RNA from 1 species
GAUGAAGAACGUAGCGAAAUGCGAUAAGUAGUGUGAAUUGCAGACUUUAGUGAAUCAUCGAAUCUUUGAACGCACAUUGCGCCCUUUGGUAUUCCUUAGGGCAUGCCUGUUCGAGCGUCAUUUAAACCUUCAAGCUAAGCUUGGUGUUGGGUGACUGUCCGCUUCACUGCGGACUCGCCUCAAAAUUAUUGGCGGCCGGUACAUUGGCUUCGAGCGCAGCAGAAACGCGAACUCGGGCCCGUCGUAUUGGCUCCCAGAAGCUAUCUUCACAAUUUUGACCUCGGAUCAGGUAGGGAUACCCGCUGAACUUAAGCAUAUCAAUAAGCGGAGGA